rnacentral:rRNA from 1 species
UCGGGAAUUUUGGGCAAUGGGCGAAAGCCUGACCCAGCAACGCCGCGUGAGGGAUGAAGUAUUUCGGUAUGUAAACCUCGAAAGAAUGGGAAGAAUAAAUGAUGGUACCAUGUAUAAGCUCCGGCUAACUACGUGCCAGCAGCCGCGGUAAUACGUAGGGAGCAAGCGUUGUUCGGAUUUACUGGGCGUAAAGGGCGCGUAGGCGGCGCGGUAAGUCACUUGGGAAAUCUCUGAGCUUAAC